GGGUUGUGAGGUUAAGCGACUAAGCGUACACGGUGGAUGCCCUGGCAGUCAGAGGCGAUGAAGGGCGUGCUAAUCUGCGAUAAGCGCCGGUAAGGUGAUAUGAACCGUUAUAACCGGCGAUACCCGAAUGGGGAAACCCAGUGUGAUUCGUCACACUAUCAUUAACUGAAUCCAUAGGUUAAUGAGGCGAACCGGGGGAACUGAAACAUCUAAGUACCCCGAGGAAAAGAAAUCAACCGAGAUUCCCCCAGUAGCGGCGAGCGAACGGGGAGGAGCCCAGAGCCUGAAUCAGCAUGUGUGUUAGUGGAAGCGUCUGGAAAGGCGCGCGAUACAGGGUGACAGCCCCGUACACAAAAGCGCAUGUGCUGUGAGCUCGAUGAGUAGGGCGGGACACGUGGUAUCCUGUCUGAAUAUGGGGGGACCAUCCUCCAAGGCUAAAUACUCCUGACUGACCGAUAGUGAACCAGUACCGUGAGGGAAAGGCGAAAAGAACCCCGGCGAGGGGAGUGAAAAAGAACCUGAAACCGUGUACGUACAAGCAGUGGGAGCACCCUUUGGGGUGUGACUGCGUACCUUUUGUAUAAUGGGUCAGCGACUUAUAUUCUGUAGCAAGGUUAACCGUAUAGGGGAGCCGAAGGGAAACCGAGUCUUAACCGGGCGUUAAGUUGCAGGGUAUAGACCCGAAACCCGGUGAUCUAGCCAUGGGCAGGUUGAAGGUUGGGUAACACUAACUGGAGGACCGAACCGACUAAUGUUGAAAAAUUAGCGGAUGACCUGUGGCUGGGGGUGAAAGGCCAAUCAAACCGGGAGAUAGCUGGUUCUCCCCGAAAGCUAUUUAGGUAGCGCCUCGUGAAUUCAUCUCCGGGGGUAGAGCACUGUUUCGGCUAGGGGGCCAUCCCGGCUUACCAACCCGAUGCAAACUGCGAAUACCGGAGAAUGUUAUCACGGGAGACACACGGCGGGUGCUAACGUCCGUCGUGAAGAGGGAAACAACCCAGACCGCCAGCUAAGGUCCCAAAGUCAUGGUUAAGUGGGAAACGAUGUGGGAAGGCCCAGACAGCCAGGAUGUUGGCUUAGAAGCAGCCAUCAUUUAAAGAAAGCGUAAUAGCUCACUGGUCGAGUCGGCCUGCGCGGAAGAUGUAACGGGGCUAAACCAUGCACCGAAGCUGCGGCAGCGAACGUAUCACUUAAAGCGAUUCAGCGGGUUACGAUUGACGGAGCGAAGCGACGUCAAAGCGUAUACAAAGUCGAGUCGGUUUAAGGAUACGUUCGUUGGGUAGGGGAGCGUUCUGUAAGCCUGUGAAGGUGUGUCGUGAGGCAUGCUGGAGGUAUCAGAAGUGCGAAUGCUGACAUAAGUAACGAUAAAGCGGGUGAAAAGCCCGCUCGCCGGAAGACCAAGGGUUCCUGUCCAACGUUAAUCGGGGCAGGGUGAGUCGACCCCUAAGGCGAGGCCGAAAGGCGUAGUCGAUGGGAAACGGGUUAAUAUUCCCGUACUUGGUGUUACUGCGAAGGGGGGACGGAGAAGGCUAUGUUGGCCGGGCGACGGUUGUCCCGGUUUAAGCGUGUAGGUGUGUGUUCCAGGUAAAUCCGGUUCACUUUAACACUGAGGUGUGA
rnacentral:rRNA from 1 species